rnacentral:rRNA from 1 species
GCUUAGAGAGGGGUCAAUGUCCUAUCAGCUAGUUGGUAGGGUAACGGCCUACCAAGGCGAAGACGGGUAGCAGGCCUGAGAGGGUGGUCGGCCACACUGGGACUGAGACACUGCCCAGACUCCUACGGGAGGCUGCAGUCGAGAAUCUUUCGCAAUGCCCGAAAGGGUGACGAAGCGACGCCGCGUGUGGGAAGAAGGCCUUCGGGUUGUAAACCACUGUCGGGAGUUAGGAAAUGUAAGGGUGCUAAUAGUAUCCUUACUUGACUAAGGCUCCGGAGGAAGCCACGGCUAACUCUGUGCCAGCAGCCGCGGUAAUACAGAGGCGGCAAGCGUUGUUCGGAAUUAUUGGGCGUAAAGAGCACGUAGGCGGCUUUGUAAGUCAGCUGUGAAAGCCUUCUGCUUAACGGAAGAACAGCAUCUGAUACUGCAAGGCUAGAGUGCGGAAGGG